UUAAAAACUAUGACGGGGAAUAGUAAAUAAGGUGAAAAUUCAAAGCGAAUCGGUGGAUGGUGAAAGCCCGAUAAUAUAGCUUUAUAGAAAGCAGCCCUCGAGUUUCUUAUCGAGAAAGGGGAAUUGAUUUUUUAAUUCCUACAAUAGAGACAGACGUUUCCUCACGUUACAGAGGAUUGGGAUUUUUUAUUCCAAUUGAGGGAGUGCUUUAUAGCACUAACUAGGGUGGUACCGCGAAAAGUCUUUCGUCCCUUUA
rnacentral:ncRNA from 1 species